GUGGAUUAGAUACCCUGGUAGUCCACGCCGUAAACGUUGGGCACUAGGUGUGGGUUCCAACCAACGGAAUCCGUGCCGCAGCUAACGCAUUAAGUGCCCCGCCUGGGGAGUACGGCCGCAAGGCUAAAACUCAAAGGAAUUGACGGGGGCCCGCACAAGCGGCGGAGCAUGUUGCUUAAUUCGAGGCAACGCGAAGAACCUUACCUGGGUUUGACAUUCUGGGAAAAGCCGUAGAGAUACGUUGUCCGAAAGGGUCCAGAACAGGUGGUGCACGGCCGUCGCCAACU
rnacentral:rRNA from 1 species